rnacentral:rRNA from 1 species
GUUAUAUGGUCAAGCGAAUAAGCGCACACGGUGGAUGCCUAGGCGGUCAGAGGCGAUGAAGGACGUGGUAGCCUGCGAAAAGUGUCGGGGAGCUGGCAACAAGCUUUGAUCCGGCAAUAUCCGAAUGGGGAAACCCACUGCUUCGGCAGUAUCCUGCAGUGAAUUCAUAGCUGCUGGAAGCAAACCCGGUGAACUGAAAUAUCUAAGUAACCGGAGGAAAAGAAAUCAACCGAGAUUCCCUAAGUAGUGACGAGCGAACGGGGAGCAGCCCUUAAGCUGGAAUGGCUUUAGAAAAACAAUCUGGAAAGAUUGGCCAUAGAAGGUGAUAGCCCUGUAUUUAAAAGGGCCACUCCAGUGAAGACGAGUAGGGCGGGGCACGUGAAACCCUGUCUGAAUAUGGGGGGACCAUCCUCCAAGGCUAAAUACUCCUGACCGACCGAUAGUGAACCAGUACCGUGAGGGAAAGGCGAAAAGAACCCCGGAGAGGGGAGUGAAAUAGAUCCUGAAACCGUGUGCGUACAAGCAGUAGGAGCUCGCAAGAGUGACUGCGUACCUUUUGUAUAAUGGGUCAGCGACUUACUGUUCGUGGCAAGCUUAACCGUAUAGGGGAGGCGAAGGGAAACCGAGUCUGAUAAGGGCGCAUAGUCGCGGGCAGUAGACCCGAAACCGGGUGAUCUAGUCAUGGCCAGGGUGAAGGUGCCGUAACAGGUACUGGAGGCCCGAACCCACGUCUGUUGCAAAAGACGGGGAUGAGCUGUGAUUAGGAGUGAAAAGCUAAUCGAACCCGGAGAUAGCUGGUUCUCCUCGAAAGCUAUUUAGGUAGCGCCUCGGACGAAUACUACUGGGGGUAGAGCACUGUUAUGGCUAGGGGGUCAUCGCGACUUACCAAACCAUUGCAAACUCCGAAUACCAGUACGUACUAUCCGGGAGACACACGGCGGGUGCUAACGUCCGUCGUGAAAAGGGAAACAACCCAGACCCACAGCUAAGGUCCCAAAUUCACUGCUAAGUGGAAAACGAUGUGGAAAGGCAUAGACAGCCAGGAGGUUGGCUUAGAAGCAGCCACCCUUUAAAGAAAGCGUAAUAGCUCACUGGUCGAGUCGGUCUGCGCGGAAGAUUUAACGGGGCUAAGCAGUGAACCGAAGCUUGGGGUGCAUAAAACUUGUUUUAUGCGCGGUAGAGGAGCGUUCCGUAAGCCUGCGAAGGUGGAUUGAGAAGUCUGCUGGAGGUAUCGGAAGUGCGAAUGCUGACAUGAGUAACGAUAAUGCGGGUGAAAAGCCCGCACGCCGAAAGCCCAAGGUUUCCUUGCGCAACGUUAAUCGACGCAGGGUUAGUCGGUCCCUAAGGCGAGGGCGAAAGCCGUAGUCGAUGGGAAGCAGGUUAAUAUUCCUGCACCUCGCGUGAGUGCGAUGGAGGGACGGAGAAGGUUAGGUGUACCGGGCGUUGGUUGUCCCGGGGAAAGGCGGUAGGUUUGGAUCUUUGGCAAAUCCGGGAUCCUUUAAGACCGAGCACCGAGACGAGCCUUUAUGGCGAAGUCACUGAUACCACGCUUCCAGGAAAAGCUCCUAAGCUUCAGCUCACGAAGACCGUACCGUAAACCGACACAGGUGGGUAGGAUGAGAAUUCUCAGGCGCUUGAGAGAACUCGGGUGAAGGAACUAGGCAACAUGGCACCGUAACUUCGGGAGAAGGUGCACCCUUUUUGGUGGCUCAUGCGAGCUAUAGCUGAAGAGGGUCGCAGAAACCAGGCCGCUGCGACUGUUUAUCAAAAACACAGCACUCUGCAAACACGAAAGUGGACGUAUAGGGUGUGACGCCUGCCCGGUGCUGGAAGGUUAAUUGAUGGGGUCAGCCGCAAGGCGAAGCUCUUGAUCGAAGCCCCAGUAAACGGCGGCCGUAACUAUAACGGUCCUAAGGUAGCGAAAUUCCUUGUCGGGUAAGUUCCGACCUGCACGAAUGGCGUAACGACAGCGGCGCUGUCUCCACCCGAGACUCAGUGAAAUUGAAAUCGCUGUGAAGAUGCAGCGUUCCCGUGGCAAGACGGAAAGACCCCGUGAACCUUUACUAUAGCUUUACACUGAACGUUGAGUUCGUCUGUGUAGGAUAGGUGGGAGGCUAUGAAACUGUGGCGCUAGCUGCAGUGGAGCCAUCCUUGAAAUACCACCCUGUCGUGCUUGACGUUCUAACCUAGGUCCGUUAUCCGGAUCAGGGACCGUGUAUGGUGGGUAGUUUGACUGGGGCGGUCUCCUCCUAAAGAGUAACGGAGGAGCACGAAGGUACGCUCAGCGCGGUCGGACAUCGCGCACUGUGUGCAAAGGCAUAAGCGUGCUUGACUGCAAGAUCGACGGAUCAAGCAGGUACGAAAGUAGGUCUUAGUGAUCCGGUGGUUCUGUAUGGAAGGGCCAUCGCUCAACGGAUAAAAGGUACUCCGGGGAUAACAGGCUGAUACCGCCCAAGAGUUCAUAUCGACGGCGGUGUUUGGCACCUCGAUGUCGGCUCAUCACAUCCUGGGGCUGUAGUCGGUCCCAAGGGUAUGGCUGUUCGCCAUUUAAAGUGGUACGCGAGCUGGGUUCAGAACGUCGUGAGACAGUUCGGUCCCUAUCUGCCAUGGGCGUUGGAAGUUUGAGAGGGGCUGCUCCUAGUACGAGAGGACCGGAGUGGACGAACCUCUGGUGUUCCGGUUGUCACGCCAGUGGCAUUGCCGGGUAGCUAUGUUCGGAAGCGAUAACCGCUGAAAGCAUCUAAGCGGGAAGCGCGCCUCAAGAUGAGACUUCCCGGGGCACAAGCCCCCUAAAGGAACCAUGUAGACUACGUGGUUGAUAGGUCAGGUGUGUAAGUACAGCAAUGUAUUGAGCUAACUGAUACUAAUGAUCCGUGCGGCUUGACCAUAUAACCU